rnacentral:tRNA from 1 species
UCCCUGGCAGUUCAGCGGUUAAGACUCUGCACUUCCACUGCAGGAGGCGCAGGUUCAAUCUCUGGUCAGGGAA